GACGAACGCUGGCGGCGUGCCUAAUACAUGCAAGUCGAACACUUCUUUCCUCCCGAGUGCUUGCACUCAAUUGGAAAGAGGAGUGGCGGACGGGUGAGUAACACGUGGGUAACCUACCCAUCAGAGGGGGAUAACACUUGGAAACAGGUGCUAAUACCGCAUAACAGUUUAUGCCGCAUGGCAUAAGAGUGAAAGGCGCUUUCGGGUGUCGUUGAUGGAUGGACCCGCGGUGCAUUAGCUAGUUGGUGAGGUAACGGCUCACCAAGGCCACGAUGCAUAGCCGACCUGAGAGGGUGAUCGGCCACACUGGGACUGAGACACGGCCCAGACUCCUACGGGAGGCAGCAGUAGGGAAUCUUCGGCAAUGGACGAAAGUCUGACCGAGCAACGCCGCGUGAGUGAAGAAGGUUUUCGGAUCGUAAAACUCUGUUGUUAGAGAAGAACAAGGACGUUAGUAACUGAACGUCCCCUGACGGUAUCUAACCAGAAAGCCACGGCUAACUACGUG
rnacentral:rRNA from 1 species